AUAUAUAUAUAUAGAGAGAGAGAGAGAGAGAGAGAGAGAGAGAGAGAGUCCAGCUAUUAUCUUUUUACAAGAACGGAGACUUUCGUUCUCCGAAGUCGUUUUAGAUAAAAGGAAUCCGAAUCGAUAAUCAGAACCAUUAAAGUUGAUUUAGAAUAUUUAUAACGUCUAGAAACUAAAUUUCAUAAAAUUUAAAAUUCAUUAUUAAGUUCAUUGAAGAGUCGAAAGAUAAACGACAAAAAAUGAAUAACCUUGUGAAAAUAGAUAUUAGACUUUUUCAAUUCACGAUCAGAGUUAUCAAACGUUAUCUAAAUAGUACAAAAAAUUUUCUAUCAAAAAUUCAAGUUAUUUGGAUUAUUCUCCACCAUUAAACAAACAAACAGCUCAUAUAGACUGUAAAAAACUGUCAAUCUUAUGAUUCUUUGAUCACUAUGUAAAUAAUUUUUAAAAUUCAUGAAAUUUAGUUUCUAGACACUUUAAAUACUCUAGAUCAACUUUAACAGUUCUAAUCAUCGAUUUGAAAUCUCUAUCAUCUAAAAUGACUUAGGAGGACGAAAGCCUUUGUCCUCCUAAAAGGAUAAUAGCUGAAUUCUAUAUAUAUAAAAAGAGAAAGCAGGGCUACUGUAUUAUUAAAAGCACAGUAGCCUUUAUGUUUCUAACUUCCUAACAAUCCAUCAAUUUUAAUGAAUGGUUAGGGUGGAGAGAGAAAAUAAAUCAAGAAGAAAUUGAGUGUCUCAAUUUCUCUCCUCUUUGAAUUUUUUCCUCAUUUCUCUUCUCUCUCUCUUAUCCUAACCACCUAUCAAAAUUGAUAAAUUGUUAGAAAGCUAGAAACAUAAGGACUGUUGUACUCUAUAAUAUCACAGUAGCCCUACUAUAUGUGUGUGUGUGUGUGUGUGCGCGCGUGUAAGCUAGGCAGGUAUAUUAUUGGUAGCACGGUGGCCUUCGUGCUACCAUGUUUUCAAUGAAGUAGCUUCUAAAUUGACGAUUGGCUAUAAACUUGAUCUAGACUAUUGAAAAUAUUUGAAAACUAAAUUUCAUAAUUUUUCAACAUCAUUUACUUAUUAAAUGAGUAAAUCUUACAAAAAAUGAUGAUAAAAGACUUAAAUUUAAUAUCAGAGGUACUGAUCUUACUCUAAAUAGUAAAAAAAAUUUCUAUAAAAAAUUUAUUAGAUUUGGAUUGUUUUACACUCGUUAAAUUCACAAACGCAUCACAUCGAUCAUUAAAAUUAUUAAUUUUGAGACUUUUUGAUCACUAACCAAAUGAUGUCGAAAAAUUAUAAAAUCAAAUUUUCAAAUAUUUUUAAUAGUGUGGAUCAAGUCUAACGGAGCCGAUCGUCGAUUUGGAAACCGCAUCAUUAAAAAUAAUUUGGUAUUACGGAGGCCUCCGUGCUACCGAUAAUAUACCAGCCUAGCUCCUAAGGUGAUUUAAAUAUUUAGAA
rnacentral:lncRNA from 1 species